UACGUAGGGUGCAAGCGUUGUCCGGAAUUAUUGGGCGUAAAGAGCUCGUAGGCGGUUUGUCGCGUCGAAUGUGAAAACCCGGGGCUCAACCCCGGGCCUGCAUUCGAUACGGGCAGACUAGAGUUCGGUAGGGGAGUCUGGAAUUCCUGGUGUAGCGGUGAAAUGCGUAGAUAUCAGGAGGAACACCGGUGGUGUAAACGGCUUUCUGGACCGUAACUGACGCUGAGGCACGAAAGCGUGGGUAGCAAACAGG
rnacentral:rRNA from 1 species